rnacentral:rRNA from 1 species
UACGUAGGGGGCAAGCGUUGUCCGGAUUUAUUGGGCGUAAAGAGCGUGUAGGCGGCUUGACAAGUCUGCUGUGAAAACUCGAGGCUCAACCUCGAGAUGUCGGCGGAAACUGUCUGGCUAGAGUCCGGAAGAGGAGAGUGGAAUUCCUGGUGUAGCGGUGAAAUGCGCAGAUAUCAGGAAGAACACCCGUGGCGAAGGCGGCUCUCUGGGACGGUACUGACGCUGAGACGCGAAAGCGUGGGGAGCGAACAGG